CCCUAACCCCUAAAACCUAACCCUAAGCCUAACCCCUAAAGCCUAACCCCAAGACGGUGGAACUGCACGUGCACAGAAAGGCUCGAUCGAACACCUGGUUUACAUCCCUCUGUCUCUCCAUUUCGGUAUCCAUCAUAAUCAAUUCUGAGAGACAUUUUUAUCAAAACCCAAUUUGUACCUGACAUGGUAUUACAAAACAUACCUCUCUUUUUUUCUCAAAACAUUUUGCUACAAACACAGAUGAGUCUUGCCACAGACAGGCUGAUGAUCCCUGGUAUUCACAUAAGUAAGGAGACGGAGGGUUGGCUGGGCUCUGUUGGUCAUGACCUCACUGAAGCAGUCUAACCGAUACACAUAUAUACAGGGAUACAUCGUAUCUAAUAUCCCUGGGCACCACGAUAGACGGCCGCUCUUCACUGCUAAACUUGGUCUCAUCUGGGAGCAAGAUGCCAAAAUUGUAGGCAAAAAGAAAAUAACCCCACAGGGAUCAAUGAAGGGGUUAGACAAUGAAAGUGGAACAUGGCCAGUAGAGUUUGAGGUUUCACCCAGUGCAUGGCCUGGUGACCAGUCUUCACUGAUUGCACAUUCCAUUGGUAAUUGCAGAGUGUGAAGGCUGAAUUGGCAGGGCAAUAGCACAGCUGUACAUAAAAUGUUGCAAAUCCACACAAUAUAAUGGGAGACAUAACAAAGUUCAAAGGAGGACAAAUUGUUGGUGUGCGUCUCGCUGGUGCAUCUGCGACCAGGACAGCAGGUCUUUGUGGUGUUUCGAGAGCCACAGUAUCCAGGACAAUGUCAGCAUACCCCCAUAAAGGACGGAACACAUCCAGCAGGAGUAACUGUAGAUGCAACAGGAAGCCGUCUGAAAGGGAUCUCUGGAUUGUAUCCAAAAAAAAACAUAUAUAACCACAGCUGUUCAACUCACUGCAGAAGUAAAUGUGCACCUUGACUCUCUUGAUUCCACCAAAACUGCUCGUCAGGAGCUCCACAGGGUCAGUGUUCAUGGUGAGGCUGCUAUAACCAAACCUUUGGUCACUCGUGCCAGUGCAAUACGUCAAUUUCAACUGUGCCAGCAAUGCAAAUAUUGGGCUGUGGGCAAUGUGAACCAUGUAUUGUUCUCUGAUGAGUCCACCUUCACUAUCUCUGCAACAUCACGACAUUCCCUAGGCCCAGUACCUGUUCUAGAUGGGCGAGUCACUGCCAAGAGCUGCCAAGCCAUUCUGGAGGACCAUGGUUGAAACAUUGUACCCUGAAGGUGGUGCCGUGUAUCAGGAUUAUUAUAAGGCAGCAAUACACACAGCAAGACUGGUGACAGAGUGGUUUGAUGAGCAUUACAGUGAAGCUGAACAUCUGCCAUGGUCUGCACAGUUACCCGAUAUGAAUAUUAUUGAGCAACUUUGGGAUGUUUUGGAAGAACGAGUCAGGGAACGUUUUCCUCCACCAGCAUCACAUAGCGACCUGGCCACUGUUCUGCAAGAGGAAUAGUUCAAAAUCCCACUGGCCACUGCGCAGAACCUGUAUCUGUCAUUCCCAAAGCAAAUUGAUGCUGUAUUGGCUACAAAAGGAGGCCCUACACCAUACUAAUAAUUUAGUGUGGCCUUUUAUUGUCCAACCCCUGUAUAUUCAUAGUUUCUUCUAGUGUUCCAGUCUUUAGUGCUGGUAGUGACCCCCUCCUGUUCCCUGUAGCUUCUGGUCCCUUGUGUGUGAGUAGUAAUGGUCCACACCUGUUCCUUGUCUCCCCCUCCUUCCCUGGCCUCUUGUCCAUCAUUGCAUUUCUUUCCUGCAUGUUCCCCGGAUGUGAUGAUGUUGCUUUUGGUGCCUCUCAGACCUUCCCGGUGUCAGUGUGGUCUUUGAUACUUUGUCUUUCACCUCCCUGCCUUGUGUUUUGACCCCUUGUGGUCCCUCAUAUUUCUGGUGUCAUUUAAGUUCAGUUUCAGUAAAAUCCCUUCUGUUUCCAGUCUGCACUGUGGAUCGUCCCUGACCGUGUUUUUGUGACAAUUACUAUUUCAUUUAUUGGAUUUAUUUUGUAUACUAAAAUUUUUAAUGAUUAGAAGUAAUCCUGACCGUCUAAAAACUCAUAACACUACAGCAGCGUCAGACCUCCUGAUCCCAGGCGUGGUGCCCUGACCCACUAAGUCUCUCUCCACCUUCCAUCUCUUACAGUCAUUGUUUUACUUUUUAUAACUAUUGUUUCACUUUAGUAUUGUUUUUGGCAUGCACACCAUCUUUAAUAAUACUGCAUGUUUAAUAUUACUGGUACUACUUUUGAAUUUAUUGUUUCAAUAUGUACUUUAACACUUUAAACAUUUUAAAACAUACCCUGCACAGCAAAUACAUGGAGACUCACUGAGUCUUGACAAAGCACUGAAGGUCUUUGCAGGUCUUUCUGUUCCUCAGGAUAUUGUGGGUGGUGUUUUACUUAAUUCCCCUUCAGCCAUGGAUUAUUGAUUCAGUAUCAGGCAGCUGCCAGUGGUAGCUGUGGUAACCAACCGUGGUAACCAGUGACAUCCAGAGCAUGGCUAGCUACACGGCGGGGGUAGAUUGGGCAGAGGGGUGUGGGGGUCUUGUAGGUUGUGGGAGGGGAGCAGUGUUGGUGGUGUGUGAGUCAUUGUGUGGGCUGACGCAGUGACUGAUGCAGAGCUGCAGUGGGUUAUUUUGCAUCCGCCCCGCUUUCCUCUUCCCUACUUGGUUUGGGUGGAAGUUGAAAAAAACAUCUGCUGACUGCUACUCAUAAUAAGAUGAAAUAAACUCUUUUUCAUCCAGCUCCCCACUCUUUAUUUCUGUAUACACACACACACACACACACGCACAUGUAGGGUAAACAUAUCCUUAUGGGGACCGCAC